GUAUAACUUGUUUCUCGUAGAUAAGUCCAUGAAACAAUCAAAAGAAUCUGAAGAAACAACAUCUGAACAAGACUGAUCAGCCUAGAAGGAAUUGUCUGACACCGAGAACCUAAGUGAUGUAUCGAAGAUAUAUUGUGGGACAUAAUUUAAAAAGUCUGGUACAUGAAAUUAUUUUAAUGACAGAAACACAUCAAAGUACACAGUGAGGAAUAAUACAAACUAAUGUAUAAGAUUGUCAUCUGAAAAAAAAAUAAAAAAAGAUUCCCGAUCUAAGGUAUGUUUUCUAUAUUUAAAGAGGUAUAACAUCUUUCCUGGAUAAGGCGAUUGUCCUAUUCUCCCUGUUUGUGGCUGAGGAUGAAUGACAACAGAAGAAAAUGUACUGCACAGAGGAACUCACAGUUAAAUACAUGGGAUACACACAUCCUCAUAGGCAUAAUAAUGAUUCUAUUUAAUUUCUUUUGGGUUGUGGAAGACCAUAACCUUAAACAUUUGUUUUCUUUUUUGAUUAUGUCUUAUUUCUUAAUUCCACUAGUCAACCUCUAAAAUGGAUGGUGGUCACAGUUUCUAACAGGUUAAUAGAAUAUUGUUAGUAAUCCAUUUAUGCAAUUGUGUGAUUUAUAUUGAUUUUAGCCCCAUUACAAUUAUGUUUUAAAUUUGUACCAGAGUGAAGACUCGGCCUGUGGGGUAUCUGCGCAUUGUGUAUAACUUUGCAAACCACAAAUUCCAUUGCCUGUUCAAAGCGAAGUUAACAUAACAAUUUAUUUUGUCAUUUAGAGCAGAUUUAUUACAGAACACAAACAAUAUGUAUAGUAUGUAUAGAAUUAUCACUUUUCACUGUUCUAAACUUGUACAGACUAUAUUUUAUUUUUAAAAGAAAGUACAAUUAUGGUAAUUGACUUAACAUAUACAUAUAUAUUAGUAAUACUUCAGAAUUUUAAAGGAUUUUGAAAUGACAUCAUUUUUAAAAGUAUCUGGAGAGGUUUUAUAAUCAAGUUAAAAAUAUUAAAGAAUAAGCAGAUUUAGGAAGUGUUUAUUGGUAAUUUUUCAUAUAUUGUACUGCUUACGUAUCAUACAAAAUAUUGUAAAACUGCAUACUUAAAGCCAAGAUAAAGUGGAACAGGCAAUAUAUGGAAUAUGUGGGUGAUGUAUAAAUAAAAUAAAUAUUUCAUUAUGUCUAUAUGCAAUUCACAGUUCAUGAG